rnacentral:rRNA from 1 species
GAACCGUCCAAACGUUAUUCGGAAUCACUGGGCUUAAAGGGUGCGUAGGCGGCGCGGAAAGUUGGGUGUGAAAUCCCUCGGCUCAACCGAGGAACUGCGCCCAAAACUACCGUGCUCGAGGGAGAUAGAGGUGAGCGGAACUUAGGGUGGAGCGGUGAAAUGCGUUGAUAUCCUAAGGAACACCGGUGGCGAAAGCGGCUCACUGGAUCUCUUCUGACGCUGAUGCACGAAAGCUAGGGUAGCGAACGGGAUUAGAUACCCCGGUAGUCCUAGCCGUAAACGAUGAGCACUGGAUUGGAGGGUCCUCCAUAGCCUUCCAGUCGCAACGAAAGCGUUAAGUGCUCCGCCUGGGGAGUAUGGUCGCAAGGCUGAA